UAUGUUGUACAGUUAUAUAUAGCAAAAACUAUUUUUUUUUGUUUACAUUUUUGUUUACUACCACAAGUUAAAAAAUUGUGAAAAUAAAUUAAAUUAUAUACACCUAGUAUGAUAUGUGUUUUUUUUUUUUUUUGUUCUUAUUUUUUAUUUAUUUAUUUUUUUUUUUUCUCUUUUAAUAGCUCUAAAGCGGAAAUACAUGAAAAUUUAAAAAAAAAUAGACAGAUUUUUUCUUUUUUUUCAUAUGUAUAUGCAUCAAUUUACAUUAUUAAUAUUUUUAUGUAUUGGUUGUUUGUUUUUGUGUUAACUAAAUUUAAAAAAAAAAAAAAAAUUUAAAUGAGUACCUUUUUAUGGCGUAGAAUAAAACUGUUUAUGUUGUUGCUUAGCUUGUUUGUGAUAAGAGAUGAAGAACUAAAUAUUUUAUUCAAUAACUUUAAAAGAGAGAAAAGAAGUAGACUACUGAACAUUGAAUGUAACGCUGGAGAAAUGAUUACUUACGACCAUAAGUGCGAAAAAUGUAAAGCAGGGUUUUAUAACUUUUCAAGAAAAAAUAAAACAUGCUUUCCUUGUCCUUUUGGAACUUAUAGCAACAACAUUGGUUCUGUAGUUUGUACCAAUUGUCCUGAUGGAUUUAGUAUAAAAAAAGAAAAAAAGAAAAAAAAAAUACAUACUUAUCAUAAUAACGUUUAUAUACUUAUUCACCCAACAUAUAUAUAUAUAUAUAUAUAUAUAUUGAUAAAACAUGUUAACAUAUUUAUAUGUCUAUAUUAUUAUAUAUUUUAUUAUGAUUAGCGACACAUACUUUUGGUUCAACAUCCAUAAAAGACUGCGUCUGUAAUAAAGGUUAAUAAAAUACAUAAUGAAGCA
rnacentral:lncRNA from 1 species